GUGAAUCAUCGAAUCUUUGAACGCAAAUUGCACUCCCUGGUAUUCCGGGGAGUAUGCCUGUUUGAGGGUCGUUAGAACAAAAAUCGAAGCGUCGCUCUUUUUUUUAAGGGUGAUCGCGUCGGAAUUGAGCCGUCUUUCAAAUGAUAGUUCAUGUCAAAGUGGCUUAAAAUUCAUCCAUCCGGUACGAUUAAAGAGUAUUUAAGAUCAACUUUGAUUAAGACUGAGCGAUGAACGUACCAUCUCAUGUAGUACGUUUGACCUGAGGUCGUCGGGAUGAUACGUAUUCGAUACUAAA
rnacentral:misc_RNA from 1 species